rnacentral:misc_RNA from 1 species
UCUCCGUAGGUGAACCUGCGGAGGGAUCAUUACUGAGUGAGGGCCUCCCCGGCCCGACCUCCAACCCUUUGUGAACACAACUUGUUGCUUCGGGGGCGACCCUGCCGUUCCGACGGCGAGCGCCCCCGGAGGCCUUCAAACACUGCGUAACUAAGUCGUCGGAGUUUAAACAAAUUAAACAAAACUUUCAACAACGGAUCUCUUGGUUCGGGCAUCGAUGAAGAACGCAGC